AUUGAACGCUGGCGGAAUGCUUUACACAUGCAAGUCGAGCGGCAGCGCGGGGGCGAACCCUGGCGGCGAGCGGCGAACGGGUGAGUAAUACAUCGGAACGUGUCCGUUAAGUGGGGGAUAGCUCGGCGAAAGCCGGAUUAAUACCGCAUAAGUCUCUGAGGAGGAAAGCGGGGCUCCGUAAGGACCUCGCGCUGUUGGAGCGGCCGAUGUCGGAUUAGCUAGUUGGUGGGGUAAAGGCCCACCAAGGCGACGAUCCGUAGCUGGUCUGAGAGGAUGAUCAGCCACACUGGAACUGAGACACGGUCCAGACU
rnacentral:rRNA from 1 species